UUUUCCGGUUGAUCCUGCCGGACCCGACUGCUAUCAGAGUGGGAUUAAGCCAUGCGAGUCAACGUAGCAAUACGUGGCAUACGGCUCAGUAACACGUAGUCAACAUGCCCAGGGGACGUGGAUAACCUCGGGAAACUGAGGAUAAACCGCGAUAGGCCAAGAUUUCUGGAAUGGAUCAUGGCUUAAAUCUAUAUGGCCCCUGGAUUGGACUGCGGCCGAUCAGGCUGUUGGUGGGGUAAUGGCCCACCAAACCUGUAACCGGUACGGGCUCUGAGAGGAGGAGCCCGGAGAUGGGCACUUAGACAAGGGCCCAGGCCCUAUGGGGCGCAGCAGGCGCGAAACCUCUGCAAUAAGCGAAAGCUUGACAGGGUUACUCUGAGUGAUUUCCGCUAAGGAAGUCUUUUGGCACCUCUAAAAAUGGUGCAGAAUAAGGGGUGGGCAAGUCUGGUGUCAGCCGCCGCGGUAAUACCAGCACCCCGAGUGGUCGGGACGAUUAUUGGGCCUAAAGCAUCCGUAGCCGGUCCUGCAAGUCCUCCGUUAAAUCCACCCGCUCAACGGUUGGGCCGCGGGGGAUACUACAGGGCUAGGAGGCGGGAGAGGCAAGCGGUACUUGAUGGGUAGGGGUAAAAUCCACUGAUCCAUUGAAGACCACCAGUGGCGAAGGCGGCUUGCCAGAACGCGCUCGACGGUGAGGGAUGAAAGCUGGGGGAGCAAACCGGAUUAGAUACCCGGGUAGUCCCAGCUGUAAACGAUGCAGACUCGGUGAUGGGCUGGCUUCGUGCCUACCCGGUGCCGCAGGGAAGCCGUUAAGUCUGCCGCCUGGGGAGUACGGUCGCAAGACUGAAACUAAUCACUAGU
rnacentral:rRNA from 1 species